rnacentral:rRNA from 1 species
UACAGGGGGCGCGAGCGUUGCUCGGAAUCACUGGGCGUAAAGCGUACGCAGGCGGGUCGAUAAGUCCGGUGUGAAAUCCCAGGGCUCAACCCUGGAACUGCAGUGGAGACUGUCGAUCUUGAGUACGGGAGAGGGGAGCGGAAUUCCUGGUGUAGAGGUGAAAUGCGUAGAUAUGCGGAGGAACACCGAUGGCGAAGGCAAUCCCCUGGGCCUGCACUGACGCUCAUGCACGAAAGCGUGGGGAGCAAACAGG